AGCAUGUCUUGCAUUUCCUCACCUCUGCACCCUUACUGGACACAAUUCUGUAUGCCUCUGAUGCUCGCCUAUUGUCUCUUAGAGAUUUCCCAUGUGGAAAUUCUAUGCAGACAUUAAACUCAAGCUUAAAUGCCGAAUUCCCCACAGAGAUUUUCUAAUCCCUCAAGCUCUGACCCCUACCAUCUCUAAACUCUUUCAACAGUUUAUAAAACA
rnacentral:lncRNA from 1 species